AACGAACGCUGGCGGCAGGCUUAACACAUGCAAGUCGAACGCCCCGCCAGGGGAGUGGCAGACGGGUGAGUACCGCGUGGGAACAUACCCUUUCCUGCGGAAUAGCUCCGGGAAACUGGAAUUAAUACCGCAUACGCCCUACGGGGGAAAGAUUUAUCGGGGAAGGAUUGGCCCGCGUUGGAUUAGCUAGUUGGUGUGGUAAAGGCCUACCAAGGCGACGAUCCAUAGCUGGUCUGAGAGGAUGAUCAGCCACAUUGGGACUGAGACACGGCCCAAACUCCUACGGGAGGCAGCAGUGGGGAAUAUUGGACAAUGGGCGCAAGCCUGAUCCAGCCAUGCCGCGUGAGUGAUGAAGGCCUUAGGGUUGUAAAGCUCUUUCACCGAUGAAGAUAAUGACGGUAGUCGGAGAAGAAGCCCCGGCUAACUUCGUG
rnacentral:rRNA from 1 species